AUGGUGGUACCAUCUAGUACUGCACCACCUCAAUUACUUAGAUUUGGAACCUCUCUGAAAAUUGGUAUCGUUGGAUUGCCAAAUGUUGGGAAAUCUACCUUCUUUAAUGUGUUAACCAAUAGUCAGGCACCAGCAGAAAAUUUCCCAUUCUGCACUAUUGACCCUAACGAAAGCAGAGUGCCUGUGCCAGAUGAAAGAUUUGACUUUCUUUGCCGGUACCACAAACCAGCAAGUAAAAUUCCUGCCUUUCUAAAUGUAGUGGAUAUUGCUGGCCUUGUGAAAGGAGCACACAAUGGGCAGGGCCUGGAAAAUGCUUUUUUAUCUCAUAUUAGUGCCUGUGAUGGGAUUUUUCAACUAACUCGUGCUUUUGAAGAUGAUGAUAUCACACAUGUUGAAGGAAGUGUAGAUCCUAUUUGAGAUAUAGAAAUAAUACACGAAGAGCUUCAGCUUAAAGAUGAGGAAAUGAUUGGACCCAUUAUAGAUAAACUAGAAAAGGCGGCUGUGAGAGGAGGAGAUAAAAAACUAAAACCCGAAUAUGAUAUAAUGUGUAAAGUUAAAUCCUGGGUUAUAGAUCAAAAUAAACCUGUUUACUUCUAUCAUGAUUGAAAUGACAAAGAGAUUGAAGUGUUGAAUUAACACUUAUUUUUGACUUCAAAACCAAUGGUCUACUUGGUUAAUCUUUCUGAAAAAGACUGCAUUAGAAAGAAAAACAAAUGCGGGGCCUUGGAACUCAAGUUGCAAGAAUUGAGUGCUGAGGAGAGACAGAAGUAUCUGGAAGCGAACAUGACACAAAAUGCUUUGCCAAAGAUCAUUAGGACUGGGUUUGUAGCACUCCAACUAGAAUACUUUUUCACUGCAGGCCCAGAUGAAGUGUGUGCAUGGACCAUCAGGAAAGGGACUAAGUCUCCUCAGGCUGCAGGAAAGAUUUACACAGAUUUUGAAAAGGGAUUGAUUAUGGCUGAAGUAAUGAAAUAUGAAGAUUUUAAAGAGGAGGGUUCUGAAAAUGCAGUCAAGGCUGUUGGAAAGUACAGGCAACAAGGCAGAAAUUAUAUUGUUGAAGAUGGAGAUAUUAUCUUCUUCAAAUUUAAUACGCCUCAACAACCGAAGAAGAAAUAAAUUUUAGCCAUUGUUCAGAUGAACGUACAACUUCCAAAAGGCAUAUGUUUUUUUUAUAAAUUAAAAUUUCUGAAAACUGAAGGGGCAAAUAAAGUUGGGGAGAUGGGAAUCUUCUACAAACAAAUUAUUUUUAUUUGUUUUAAAAUUAAAAUACUGUGUACCUCCAGUGAAAUGCAAGUUUACUCAGUGUGAACAGCUUUGCUUUUCAUGUGAUUAAGGCCCUCCUCCAAAUUGUAGAAGCUUUUCAGGAACCAUAUUACUCUCAUGAUACUUCAUUAAUCUCCAUCAUGUAUGCCAAGCCUGACACAUUUGACAGUGAGGGCAAUGUGGCCUGCUCCUUUUUGAAUCUACAGAUAAUGCAUGUUUUACAGUACUCCAGAUGUCUACACUCAAUAAAACAUUUGACAAAACCAAAAAAAAAAAAAAAA